UAUAAAUAAGGACGCCUUGGGCUUGCUCGGCCUUUUAAGGGAAGACCUUUGCCCUGUGAACGUGGAGGUGAUCGCCUUCGGUCAAGAUUCCAAAUAACUUGAUUUGGGGUGAGUAAAUCUGAAUUGCUUUUGGCUUACUGGUUUUGCCUGUCAGCAUUUUGCAAAAGACGUUUAAUCAUUCUGAGCUCAGUCCCCCUUCAUGAAGGUGCUAUUGCUGGUUAAUACAUCCAGAUAGAAACUUUGCUACAUCUUUGUAGGCAUGUUGGCAGUAUUUUAGAUAUAUGUUCAUGUUCUGGGGAGAUGCUCCUUCCAGUAAGACUGCUAAGAUUUUUACAUCUUUCAUUCUUACGUGAUAUAGAGGAGAAAUUUCUACUUAGCAAAUUUAAAAAAUUGUGAUAGCUUGGACUGACUUAACCGGUCACCCUGGUGAAAUUUACAUGAGUCAUGUGAUGUGCAUGCCCCCUCAAAGCCCAUCCCCAGGAGAAGGGUUUGGUCUCAACAAUCCCUUUUCAUGGUGCUGGGGUUGAAGCUGGGCAUGUGCGUCUGCAUACUCCUACAGUGAAUGAUCGUGAUCAAGUAGGUAAACCAUGAAGGAGAACAUAGUGACAAGUUUGGAAUUGAUUUAAAAAUAGUUAAUCAACAGGCUCUCCCCACAGCUACAUGUAGUGUGGGGAGUGAAGAAAAAUGAAAUCUCUACAAGGUUUUGAGGGGUAAAUACUGUUCAGCAGUGCUGUCCUUAAUUCCAGCUUAUAAUUGAUCAGGCACUCCCGACGUGGAUACCCCGGGAGGUCACUCUCCCCGGGCUCUGUCCAGGUGGCGCAGGGGAGCAUAGGGCUCUGCCCCGUGAUGUACAGUCCCUUUCCACGACGUUGGAGAGAAAGCCGGGCCUUGAGUCUGCGCCUGCAUAUUCCUACAGCUUCUCAGAGUCCUGUGGACAAUGACUGAGGAGACAAACCAUGCAGGAAACAUCU